GUAUGGAAACCUACUAAGUGAUAACUUUCAAAUUCAGGGAAACCCCGGAAUUCACAAAAAUGGGCAAUCCUGAGCCAAAUCCUGUUUUCUCAAAAGAAAGGUUCAGAAAACGAAAAAAAAAAGGAUAGGUCCAGAGACUCAAUGGAAGCUGUUCUAACAAAUGGGGGCACCGGUAGAGGAAUCUUUGCACCAAAACCAAACGUCAGAAAGGAUCAAAACCUAUCUAUUUUUUACUAUAUAAAAAUAAAAAAAAAUGAUUAAUAAUGGCCCGAAUCUCUAGAUGUUUUUUUUAUAUGAAAAAUAGAAGCAGGAUUGGUGUGAAUUCAUUCGACAUUCACGAAAAAAUAUAAUUUUUAUUCAUCAAAUCAUUCACUCCAUAGUCCGAUAACCUUUUAAAGAACUGAUCAAUCGGACAAGAAUAAAGAUAGAGUCCCUUUACAUGUCAAUACCGGCAACAAUGAAUUAUGUAGAGGAAAUCCGUGAUUUUAAUCUCGUGUGGUUCAAGUCCCUCUAUCCCCAACAAACUAUUUUACUCCCAAACUUAUCCUACCUCUCUUUUCGGUUACAAAUUUCUUUUAUGCUUCUUUGACAAACGUAGUUGGGCGUCAACGUAAAUGACUUUAUCUUCUCCCAUGUGAUAUAGAAUACACAUCCAAAUUGAGCAAAGAAUCCCGAUUCAAAUGAAUUCACAAUCAAUAGCUUUACGAAUACUGAAACUCAUAAAGUGGCUUUUUGGAGAUCAAAGAAAUUGAAGUACUUGUAGAAAAAUUUGUAAUCCACCCUUUCCCUUUAAUUGACAUAGACCCCGUUAUCGACUAAAAUAAUCAAAUGCGUAUGGAUUACUACGCUGGCAAUGUCGGGAUAGCUCAGCU
rnacentral:misc_RNA from 1 species